CACAGUUCACUGGUGGCAUGAGAUAGUAACUCUACUAGCUGCCCCAGGCUGUUUCCAAAUGUGCAUGGACCUUUUCUAAAUGGUGUUUCUAGAUUGACAUGUAAUAACAGCAAAUUGAUGGUUUUGCUCAGAUUACUACUGUAAACUGUAGGUAAGUGAUGAAAAGGAUCAGAAGGGAAUUAAUAGGCAUUUGAGAGAGAAUAAGCUGUAUGGGUACAUGAAUGAAGAAAAGGGGAGAUGGGACUGUUGGGCUGCUCUACUGAAGCUAUUAUGGGCCUGAUGGGCUGAAUGGCUUCCUGCUGUGCAUAAUAACUAAGUCAGUAAAUGUUCUUCUAAGGUAAGAGGCGAUCAGAUCAUGUCCAUGUUUCGAUCCUCCUCUUAUUCACAGGAGGAACGUACAAAGUCCAUCCAAAACAACUCCUGAGGUCAGUAUUGAACCUAGGUCACUGGCGUUGUGAUGCAGCAGCACGAACUACUGCACCACUGUGGCAGCCUGCGGAGAGAGGACAAACAACUGGACAAAGAACCAAUGUGAGCUAGUUCUUGCAAAAGAACAUAUGAGAAAUCUACCUCAAUUGCAAGUUCCAGAAGAGAAGGACAUAUGCUCAAUAGAUGGUGACUGAGAUUUCCUGCAUUGUCUAUUGGAUGAUAUGUGGCAAUGAAAGUUCUGUUAUGUGGCAAUGUGAGUUCUGCUCAAGUGGAUUCUUACUCCCUUAUGCUUUUCAGUGAAAUUUAGACAGUUAAACCUUCAAACUGCUUUUGCAGUCGAGCUGACUCUGCCCAAGUGACCUCAGCCUUAGCUUUUUUUGGAACAACUCAAGACUUCCUAACAAUCGUGGAUGAUGCAACAUUCUGUGAAACGGACCACCAAAAUGGGAACACCCUUUUAAGACUGAAAGUAAAAUAUC